rnacentral:misc_RNA from 1 species
AAAGUGCGACAAGUGUCAUGACUUGCAGAUACCCGAGAGCUGACAAAUUUCUGAAUGCAAAUUGCAGCCAAGUUAACCUGGCUAUGUAUUGCAGAGAGUACUUCGCUUAUGCGCGCCAUCCAGGGGUGGUUCCAUUCCCCCUUGGGCUAUGUACAGGCAUAUAUUCUUGCCUGUUGAGCAUUGUGCCACUCAACACAUUCGUGCGUUGACUAAAGGCCAACUCAAAUUAAAGAUAGAAAACCAACGAGUUUUCCCGGACUAUAUAUGAGAUAAUUGUGGUAGUAACAUACCACCAAUUACUUCUCACCAAUCACCUCUGCAAUGCAGGAGAACCCGCUGAACUUAA